AUCCUGGCUCAGGACGAACGCUGGCGGCGUGCCUAAUACAUGCAAGUCGAACGAGCUCUCCCAAAUUGAUUUUAUGCUUGCAUAAAUGAUUUUUGGAUUCGGAGCGAGUGGCGAACUGGUGAGUAACACGUGGGUAACCUGCCCCRAAGCGGGGGAUAACAUUUGGAAACAAGUGCUAAUACCGCAUAAUUAGUUGGAACCGCAUGGUUCCAACUUGAAAGAUGGCUCUGCUAUCACUUUGGGAUGGACCCGCGCCGUAUUAGUUAGUUGGUGAGAUAAAAGCCCACCAAGACGAUGAUACGUAGCCGACCUGAGAGGGUAAUCGGCCACAUUGGGACUGAGACACGGCCCAGACUCCUACGGGAGGCAGCAGUAGGGAAUCUUCCACAAUGGACGAAAGUCUGAUGGAGCAACGCCGCGUGAGUGAUGAAGGUUUUCGGAUCGUAAAACUCUGUUGUUAAAGAAGAACAAGUGUUAGAGUAACUGUUAACACUUUGACGGUAUUUAACCAGAAAGCCACGGCUAACUACGUG
rnacentral:rRNA from 2 species